AACGAACGCUGGCGGCGUGCCUAACACAUGCAAGUCGAGCGAGAAAGGGGGAGCAAUCCCCUCGAGUACAGCGGCGCACGGGUGAGUAACACGUAGGUGAUCUCCCCUCGAGCCCGGAAUAACCUACCGAAAGGUGGGCUAAUACCGGAUAUGACCACGGGAGUUUCGGCUCCUGUGGUGAAAGAUGGCCUCUACCUGUAAGCUAUCGCUCAAGGAUGAGCCUGCGUGCCAUUAGCUAGUUGGUGAGGUAAUGGCUCACCAAGGCUAUGAUGGCUAGCUGGUCUGAGAGGAUGGCCAGCCACACUGGGACUGAAACACGGCCCAGACUCCUACGGGAGGCAGCAGUGGGAAUAUUGGACAAUGGGGCAACCCUGAUCCAGCGACGCCGCGUGUGUGAAGAAGCC
rnacentral:rRNA from 1 species